CGUCAGCUCGUGUCGUGAGAUGUUUGGUUAAGUCCAUCAACGAGCGCAACCCUUGUGAAUAGUUGAAUUUUUCUAUUCAGACUGCCCCGGCAACGGGGAGGAAGGAGGGGAUGAUGUCAGGUCAGUAUUUCUCUUACAUCCUGGGCUAGAAACGUGAUACAAUGGCAAGUACAAUGCGCAGCGAAGCCGCGAGGUGAAGCAAAUCGCACCAAAGCUUGUCCCAGUUCGGAUUGGAGGCUGAAACUCGCCUCCAUGAAGUCGGAAUCGCUAGUAAUCGCAGAUCAGCAAGCUGCGGUGAAUACGUUCCCGGGUCUUGUACACACCGCCCGUCAAACCAUGAAAGUGACCAACACCCGAAGUCCGAUUCGUCGGCCUAAGGUGGGGGGCAUGAUUGGGGUUAAGUCGUAACAAGGUAUCCGUACCGGAAGGUGCGGAUGGAUUACCUCCUUUCUAGGGAGUAA
rnacentral:rRNA from 1 species